AUGGUAUCAGAUACUCCCGUCUUGCUCAACCCAUUUGCGCAGGACACCGAUCUCGCUUCCACUCCCAUGGCGCCCGCCGGCGACGCCGAUCCGCUCCAUGUUGUUCCCCUGGCCAACGCGCCUCCUGCUACUGGUGGUAACACCACCCCGGCUGCGCCGGUUGCUUCGGUGCCCGCACUGCCUGCCCCACCGGUGCCCGCCCUUCCCACGGCCCGUGUGGCUUCAGUUGCCGCCCCGGCGCCUACCUUCCCUUCGUCGAUCCUCCAGACGGUGGACAUCCGUCGCCACGUUCCCGUCACGCUGGACCUUCUCGCCGGCAACUACUCGCAGUGGCGCCGCCACUUCGACACCGUCAUCGACAUGUUCGGCCUUCGUGAUCACGUCGACCCCGAGGCGGUUUCUCGCCUCGACAACCUGAAGUGGCUGAUGGCUGACCACGUCGUGGUGCACUGGCUCUACACCACCAUCUCGCCGGAGCUCCUCGACGCCGUCAUGCAGCCCGACGACACCGCACUCGCAGUCUGGGCCGCCGUCGACUGCAUUUUCCGCGACAACCAGCUUGCCCGCGCGGUCUACAUCGACGCCGAGUACCACGCGCUCGUCCAGGACGACCUCACCGUCAUGCAGUACUGCACAUGCCUCAAGGCGUUCACCGAUCAGCUGCGUGAUCUUGGCCAGGGCGUGACGGAGACGCGCCAAGUCUUCCACCUGCUUCGAGGGCUCAACCACCAGUUCCACGCCGUGAUUCCUCAUAUCACGUCCCAGGUUCCGCUGCCCUCAUUCCUUUAG
rnacentral:rRNA from 1 species